AUUGAACGCUGGCGGAAUGCUUUACACAUGCAAGUCGAACGGCAGCACGAGGGCAACCUUGGUGGCGAGUGGCGAACGGGUGAGUAAUACAUCGGAACGUGCCCAGUCGUGGGGGAUAACUACGCGAAAGCGUAGCUAAUACCGCAUACGAUCUAUGGAUGAAAGCGGGGGACCGAAAGGCCUCGCGCGAUUGGAGCGGCCGAUGGCAGAUUAGGUAGUUGGUGGGGUAAAGGCUCACCAAGCCGACGAUCUGUAGCUGGUCUGAGAGGACGACCGGCCACACUGGGACUGAGACACGGCCCAGACUCCUACGGGAGGCAGCAGUGGGGAAUUUUGGACAAUGGGCGCAAGCCUGAUCCAGCCAUUCCGCGUGCAGGAUGAAGGCCCUCGGGUUGUAAACUGCUUUUGUACGGAACGAAAAGGCUUCUUCUAAUACAGGGAGCUCAUGACGGUACCGUAAGAAUAAGCACCGGCUAACUACGUGCCAGCCGCCGCCGUAACAC
rnacentral:rRNA from 1 species